UCAUUACUCCCUCCGAUCCAUAUUACUUGUCUUAUAUUUGUCAAGAUACGGAUGUAUCUAACACUAAAACGUGUCUUGACAAAUCUAAGACAAGUUAUAUGGAUCGGAGGGAGUAACAA
rfam:Triticum aestivum genome assembly, contig: Triticum_aestivum_CS42_TGACv1_scaffold_146804_2BS